UCCUACGGGGGGCAGCAGUGGGGAAUAUUGCACAAUGGGCGGAAGCCUGAUGCAGCGACGCCGCGUGAAGGAUGAAGUAUUUCGGUAUGUAAACUUCUAUCAGCAGGGAAGAAAAUGACGGUACCUGACUAAGAAGCCCCGGCUAACUACGUGCCAGCAGCCGCGGUAAUACGUAGGGGGCAAGCGUUAUCCGGAUUUACUGGGUGUAAAGGGAGCGUAGACGGCGAUGCAAGCCAGAUGUGAAAGCCCGGGGCUCAACCCCGGGACUGCAUUUGGAACUGUGGGGCUGGAGUGUCGGAGAGGGA
rnacentral:rRNA from 1 species